rnacentral:lncRNA from 1 species
CAAGAACUAUCGAGCUCACAUCACUACAAUAAAAACGGUCUAUAGCGAUACUUUUAAAUGUAGGUACAUGUCAAAAAAGUGCUGCUAGCUAAAAUUACCGACACUUUUAAAAAGUGUUGCUAUAUGUGGGGUCGCUAGGUAUACAGUGACAGUUAAAGAGUGUUGCUAUAACCUAAAAGAGUGCUGCUAAUUUACCAACACUUAUUUAAGCAUUUAGCAACCGCCGAAACUCUAUCUCGUUGGCUGCAGUGGCGGAGGAGGACGACAGGAAAGGCUCUUCGUCUAGAAUUUCAGUGGAUUGAGUGAAGAGAGAAGAAAAUAUGGUAAUUAAUUUUUCUUUUUUUUUUUUCUUUUCUGUUUGUAAUCGGGUCAAAUGAAUUGGAUGUGGUGGGUUGAAUAGAGUAAUCUUUUAUUUUUGGUUGAAUUGGGCUUUAUAUUUAGGUAUAAAUAGAUGUUUUUUUAAGUUUUAGUAUAAAUGGAACACUUACUCAAAAGUGUCCCAAACAUGUGUCCCUAUAACCUAAUUCUGUUGUAUGCAUGCUGCACUAGCAGCCGCUG